AUUUUCCGCGCGAUUAUAAGCGAAUAAGAAACCAUAACAUUCCGACCAAUAGAAUAACAAUAAGGCGAAGCUGCGCGGGGACAUGUCAUUCUACCGCCGAAAAUUGUGUUGAUAGGACGUGUUACGCCGGCAGAGAUCGAUAUCGGAGAAAUAAUAGUUUAGAAUAUAUAUAAAGUGUACGAUGAUUUGUCAAUGACUUCCCUGCAAAUUUGUUUAGUUUUGUGUUGUAAGAAUUCGAUGUUAUUAGAGUAAAAUUUAUAUAGAGUUCAUUAAAGUGUCAGAAGUCAAUUCACCAAGAAAAUAAUGGAAUUAUCUCUCAUGUGAAAAGAUGGUAGGCGACAGGACACGUGACGUCACAGGACUCGAAGCUCCCGAGCGUUCCUAGCGGCAGUUCUCAGAAGUACGUUCACUCGAUAGGACGAUUGUCGUCUGGCGCACGACAAGCUUCAAGCAAUAUGGCGAAGUGUGUCAUGGGCUCGGUGAGACGUAGUGUCGUUUGAAAAGAUGAAAAGUUCGCGGAAUGGGUUGAGAAUAAUGUAGCGCUAUGAAGAUCGUGUGAAUAUUAUAUUUGUGUAUUCAAAAGCAUUGAGUUGUUCCUUGUGAUCGGGAUAUACAGUGCGCGUUACCGGUGUGAAAUCAUGGCUACGGAUAAAAUAAAGGUUGCCGUUCGGGUUCGGCCGUUCAAUCGUAGAGAGCUGGAACUCGGUACACAAUGCGUGGUCGAAAUGUCCGGACAGCAAACCAUCCUUCAGCAUCCCACCACGAUGGACAAGAUCGAACGGAUUGAUUUUUUUUAAACCACGUGUUCACAGCAUGGUGCAAUUAUUCUGUGAUAAACUGGAUGGAAAGAGGUUGGAUCGUGUAUUUCAAUUCAAACGAAAUCACAGAGAUUAUUGAGUUAUUUUAAGGACAGAUAGAUAUAUAAUUUUGUAACAAUGGGUAAGAAUUUAAGAUUUAAAAUUGAUCAGAGAUCCAUUGUGUCAAUUAUCGUAUCGUGCAAUCUGUUUUUAGAUUGAAAAUUGUUAACUUUAUAUAGAGACUCUGAACUAGAGACUCUUUUUCUUUUUUUUGUUUAAAGAUUGAUAAGACGUUGUUUUAUCUGUGUACAUUAUAGAUUGGAAUUGUUCGAGGCGAAAAAUAUAUUUUUAACGUUUGUGGAUGCAAGAGUGCAAUCUCGACUUUCUUUCGAUAUCUGGAAUUUAGAAGAAGAAAAAUACGAUUAUCAUGAGAAAAGAAGAUUAUAUAAAUAUUGUAAAUUACAAUAUUUAUGACAAUAUAUUCAGGAAUCGUAUAUCUCGAAGUUAUUAGAAAAAUCCAUGAUAUGAAUGAACAAAAUAAUUUAUUCGAAAGAAGCUUUUAUACAAGAUUUAAAUUAGACGAAUAAAAAUCGUUGCAUGGCGCUAUUAUCGCAUCGAUAAGAAGCGGAAUACAGCAUACGCCGCCAUUCGUUAGAUAAUUAGAUCAUACAAUCUUAUCAAUGUGAAUAGAUAACAUCGAACAUCUACGCAAACAUCGAGCAGGAAAUCCAUAAAAAGAAUUCCAAAACGAAUUUAUUGAAUUGGAUUGAAGAAAAGAUAUCUAAAAAUCUUGUUUUUCCAUUUAACCCUUCGAUAUAAUAACACACGAAGAAUGGAUAGAGAAAUUAAUAAUUAAUUAAUCAAAGAAAGAUCGUAGUAAAAGUAAGGGACGAGAGAAAAGGCGAGGAUAGCCAAUUUCCAAUUCUCUUAAAUCUUUUUCCUUUCAGAAAAGGAAAAGGAGAGGUUGCAAGAGUUUUUUUGAUUACACGGCCCGAGGCGUGUCGUUUACGCGUGAAAAGAUUCCUCUCCCUUUGAGAAGAGGCCGAUCUAUCGGAGAAAAAGGAACAAUGAGCCAAACACAAGAGUGUGUGCCUCCUUUCGAGACUAUUUUUUUUUUUUUUUUUUUUAAAUACCCUUGUUUGCCCACCUUCCCCUCCGAGCGAUAUUCCACCGGUUCUCAUUCAUUUAUCGAUUCCACCAUUUGCUCCUCUUCUCUCUUACUCGAGCUGCGAUUGGCUCUCGCCAUACGUGUGGUUUAUUGGUUUCUUUCUCUCUUUUUUUAAUUUCCUUUUUUUUUCCCUAUCUACGUAGCAUCGGCGUAGAAUUUCUUUCAUCUUCUUUCUUCUCGGCUGGCAAUCGUACGAUCUUUGAUUGGAUUGUGUAUUAUUGGAAACUGGAAAAGGAAUCUGGGUUGGUGAGGGGGACAUAUUCGAUGAUUGGUUUAAGUUUUGCUUUUUCCUUUUUGUUUUGAGUAAAUAGAGUAGAUUUAAUUACUUCUUCUUCUCCCUCUUUGAAUCUCUUUAAAUUUUAUUCUACCAAUACUCGAAUUAGAUCGAAGAUUUUUUUCUAUGUUUAUGCAUGAGAUAAGAUUUGUUGACAGGAUUUUUAUUAAAACUUCAAAUAAGAUUUUCUGUUAUUUCUCUCAAUUACUUUUUUUUAUAAUUGGCACCAAUAACUUGACAAGGAAAUUAUAGAUCGUUUCUCAAUAUUUUUAUUCGGAUCUCGACUCUAUCACUUUAUCAAAACUCGUUCAAAAACGUUUCGUGAAUAAUAGUAAUCGUACUUGACAUCGUGAACAGAUACGAGUGCACUCGUACACUAAUGAGAACUUGAGCGCGAUUCUCGAAGUAUCUAAUUGAUCGAAAUCCAAAUUUCAUAUCGAUUCACAUUCUCGAAUGUCUCGUUCAAUAAUCAUUCGAUGCCUUCGAGGGUUGAAAAAUUUCUUUCGCACAAAUCGUGACCGAGAUUAAAAUUUAACUUUUAUCUUUAUUGGACAUUUUAGAAAAUUUUCUUUUCAAAGGAUCGAUAGUUUGGAAAGGAGAUAAACGAAUUUGUAGAUCCUGGGGGGAGGGAAAAUAUCGGGAGAGGGAAGUUGCUUUCGCUUUGUCUCGAACUCUCUCUCGAACUCGACGCUUAUUGCAUAAUUGAAGGAUCCUGGUAAAAGGCCAUUCAUGGUGGAUGCAACGAUAUAGUAUCGGCCGUCGAAAUUAUUCAACGAACGUCACCGGAUAAUAAUUCGUGGAUGGGAUUGAACGCGGGGAUGUGAAAACUUUUACUAGAUGGACCGUGGAAUUGAAUUUUGAAAGAGGGUUGAUGAAAAAUUGAGGGAAUUUUGGAAACAAUUUUUUUUGCAGGAUUUCGGGGUUGGAAGAGGGAUAAAUUUUGAAAUAGUAACGAAAAUGUUUGAAAGGAUGAUUUUACACGUCAUAGAGAAAUAAUGAAUAUAGUGGAAAAAUAGGAUUUGGAAGAUUAUUGAAGCGUGGAAAAUGGUUAGAAUAAUUUUACAAAAAAAAGAAAAGAAGUGAAUCUUAAGAAUUAAAAUAGAGUAUCAAUUUUAAGGAAUUAAAAUAAUUUUCAUACUAAGAAAAAAAUAUCAAAGUUUUGAAAGUUGAUUUUACGUAAUGGAAUAAUUUUUCGUGACUUUCGUCGUAAAAAAGGGGAAGGUUGGAAAUAGUUUCAUGUGAUAAAGAGAAAGGUUAAGGGGUUAGAGUAGUUUCGUUGGAGUAUAUAAUGGAGUAUAUAAUAAUUUUAUAACGAUAGAGGAAAAUUAAAGGGGCGAAAAGAAAAUGGAUGGAAAGAAAAAAAAAAAGAAAUGUAAAACAAAAGCAUUAAAGUAGAAUUCUAUGAAAUAAUAAAAUGACGAAGAAUUAAUGCAGUUAUAUCUGUGUCGAGAGGAAGGAACACGUAGGCGUUUGAUAUUACUUUGAUUUAAAAUUUAUUUAUAUCAUAAAGAUACAAAGCGUUACAAUUGCAUUAUGUUACAGUAAUACAACUUAAUGCAUUCAAUAUGCAUAGAAUUUUUUUUCAACUCAACGUUUCGACUUUUCUUCAAAUCCAUUCGUUUUAAAUUACUCUUCGUUUAUAAUAUUCUCCCCUUUACAUUUUCAUACAUUCUUUUCACGUAUUCUUUUAAAAGUAUAUCGUUGAUCCAAUUCAAUCGACUUAUAAAAGAAUACACGAUCAAUUACCAUAUAUUACAUUUCCUUUCGAUGCAAUCGAUGAGUUCAAUCAUUAAUUGUCACAUUAAAGCAAACUAGAGUAUUAUAAAUCUCUCUAAGAAUAGAUGGAACAAGGACACUGAAUUAAGCAUAUAAAAAGCUGGAAAGCUCGUAUCUCGAUAAAAAAUAUACUCGUCUUAAUUAUCAACUCAAUUCGAAAUCCGUUCAAGGAAGAUAAACGCGGAAGAUUGAUAAGAGACUUUUGUCCAAGAGUUUGUCUGUAUCCAUGUAAAUCCUUUGGUACAGUUCCAUUAAGAUUCAUGGCCCCGGCGUCAGAUCGGAUUUUGAAGAAUCGGCGAAGUGGGACGAAUCGAGACGACGAUGUUUGCAAAAGUUUAAGUAGCAAACUUUCGAUGCGGAACGUGUCCGUGAAAUCGUGGAUAACACGAGGUGGGAUCACGAGGGAAUAAAGAUUCCACGUUUGUGUAUCGUAAAUUUUACACCGUAUAAAACGGUGGCUAGGAAGAGCAGGUUAUCAAGGGUGGAUGAAAAGUAUAUAUAUCUGCAGGAUAAGGUUAUUUUCAAUUUCACUUGCAACUUAAUCUCCUUGAUAUCCCAACAAUCAUUAUAUUAUUAUUAUCAAGAAUGGAAUAAUUACAAUUUAUUUCGUAUAAUUCUAUAAUUUGUCAAAAGUAAAUUAAUUAUCGUAGAAGAACAAUUUAUUAUUACAAUUUAUUCGUACGUAUCUUGUACAAUGGAAUUUCCAAUAUAAAAACGAAUCCAUUCUUUCCAAGCUUGUUUUCUUUGUUGUCAAAUUUCAAGAAAAUUGCAUUAAGCAGAAGGAACUUAUCGCGCUCGAUUACCCACGGUUAAUUAUCUUACACGGGUAAUUAUUAAAAGAACGGCCGUGAGAGUGGGCGUAUAUAUACGCGUGCAGGUAUUCACGCGGUGACUUUAGAUAUGAUUAGCCGUCGAGCGGAAAAACAGGUAGCAUUAAUUAUCAUGGUCCGCGCAAGCGUUAGCUUCAUUAGCAUCAGACCUUGCCUCGUAACGAGCCAUCGGUUAGUCAAGUUCAAUACUGUUGCAACGUUUCCACUUCGAUAAAGAGGAAGUUUAAAGGCAUGUAAAUCUCGUUUUCUGCGGUACCCGUAGGCGUGGAGGUAUGUAAGAAAUACGAGUAUCCAAAGUAUCUAUCCAAACUGCAUAAAAAAUCGUAAAAGUCAUUCGUCUCGAUUAAUCGAUCGCAAGGCUAUUUAUCUUCUUUAAUAUUUAUCGAUCGACCAAGUGACGAGAUGCUCGAAGGAUGUCAUCCUGAAUAUGGAGAAGCUGCCUUGAAGGGAAUGUAAGGGGAGGAAGGAAGGAAUCGAAGUAGUCAGGUAUCGUGUGCAUUUAUAUUUAUAAACGGUGACGUAUGUCUCCUCUCUGAUUCGUUGCCUGCGAUUCCUGGCAAGUGGACAUUAACAUUAUCGUCGCCACGUUGUACAAUUAACGAAGAAGAAUAUUUCGUGACAGGACUGUUUGAGCGACAAUUGUUUUUUUCGACGAAGGGACGAGGUGUGAAUCCUUGGCGAUCCUCUGCGGAUGCAAUUAGGGAAGGAUGUUUUUAUCCUCUCUGAAUUUUAGAUUUGAGAUUUUUGAGGAAGGAAGGGAGAAAAAUUUGUCGAAUUUUUUUUUUUUUUAAAUUGUUAAAGGACGUUUUGGAAUGUUCAAAGAAUGCGAACUUUUUUUGGAGGAAUUUGAAUUCUUGGAUUUAAAAUUUUACAAAAAAUUUCGAAAUUUUGGAUAUUCAAGGGAAGUUUUAGAAUUGUCUCUUAUUAUUUCAAGUUUUAUAUAAAAGGGAUAAUUUAUUUCAUACGAGAUCCCUUUCUUGCUUUCAGUAAGUGUAUUCGUUCUUUUUUUCUUCAAACAAUGAGCAAACGUCCCCAAACGCAAUUCUUAUCUAAUGAGAUUGUUCCACAAAACGGGUUGGACAAAAAGUAACAAUUUCUUUUUCUUGACUCGCAAGGAGGAGGAGAAGGAGGAAAGGACCAAUUGCGCUUUAGCAUUCCUGGCUGGCAAAGGGAAUUUGCACGGAAAUUGAAUUGCAUAAUGAAGACGGACAGACGUUCGCGACAAUAGCGACGAAUAGCGAGCGAUUCAAUUUCCAAGUUGCUACGUAUGGAGAACUUGGUGGAGCGCUUCAAAAGCGACAACUUUCUCUGGUCAUAAAACCGUGAAAGUCUAAACUCGUCCCUAAUAUCCAUAGUCGUUCAAUUUCUCUUCUGGAAUAGUCAAAAAUAAGUAAUUUCAAUUGUGCUC